ACUCCUGACAACCCCAUUAACUUCUCCUCUCCCCAAAAGCCAUUAACUUUCCCAAACCCAAUUCAUUGACUUCCCCAUUAACUUCCCCCCAUACUUCCCCUACUCAUCAUCCCACCCCAUGCCGAAGUUCUCAUUACACAUUAACUCUUCUCUAACCCAAAGCUAGGAAUGACUCCAACACCAAGACCAUACCUCUGCAGUUCCAACGAGAGAAGCACCGUCCCGCAACUCCAACAAUCUCCCAUUCAUCAACUGAGGAACAGAACUCAUCCAUUCAGCCCCAUGGCUUCAAAACGCAGAAAAAGUAAUGACGCAACAACCUCCAACUCACCGACAGCAUUACAACACCGGUCUACAAGGGGUACCCCUACAACAACCGGCUCCACACACUUCGCUCCAUGGUGCAUCCACAUCUAGUGCGUCCCCCAAUUGGAUCAACAGGUUCAACAUGUUGGAGCGGGGGCAACAACAAUUGAAAGAGUCUGUCCACUCAUUACGACAAGAUAUGGGCACACAAUUCACUGUCAUUAACGUGUGUCUGGAUGGUUUUGGCACUACACUAGGGACGAUGAACCAUUUGAUACAAGAUUUGCACCACUUUUUUCUACCUCAUCCUUAUGCACCUCCACCGCCACCUCAAUGAGCGGAAUUACUGGAGCUUAGCAUGGAUUCAGAGUGAAAAAGGAAUCAAUGAAUGCAAGGAAAGAAGGCUACACGGUCACCCCAGUGUUCAACAACACAGGCGUGUUGAUUACAGAAGAAAAGCCCAGAAAGCAGAGCGAAAUAGAGAUAGACACGGCCUGGCCGUGUCGAUCUACACAGUCGUGUCCGAUAUCGGUAUUCAGUUAUCACGCGAUCUGAAGCAAGAUUUGGAGUUAUCUUUCAACACAUGUUUCCCAGAUUUAAAAGGGAGACGUCCUGAAGCAUCGAAAAAAAAGCAGAGGCUGGAGAUCUGGAUUUUUCUUUCUUCUCUCUAAAAACUCUUAGAUUAAGUUUUCUUUUGAUUUGGAACCUGCUGUUUGUGGAGAAUUGUGUGCAACUUCAACACUACGGUUUAUCUUUCUGAUCUAUCUCAGUUUCCAGUUUGUGAUUAUGAUCUUAUAUAUUGUUAUCAUGUUUUCUAUUUCAAUUAUGUGUGAGUAAUUGUCUUAUCUGGGAUUGAACUAGGUUCGGCCAUGGUUAUGAAUUAAUGAACUGAUUGUUGUUGUUA